CCGAAGAAAGUGCAGCGGUUCCCUCUGCGCCCCCGCGCGCCCCGCCCGGCGCCGCCCCAAGCCUCGGGCCCCUUUUCCAUUCCGGGCGGGGAGGGAAAGGGGUCGGAGACCCGGGAGCGCGGGGCGCGUCGCGGCUCCCGUGGGUCGCGCCCUUGGCCCCGUCGUCCAGCCCAGAGAAGCCCGCUCCGCGUGGAGGCGGGUCCUCCAGGGCCUCCCCCACAGCCGGUCCUGGGCCCCGACGUCUCGCCCGCAACCCAGAGGCGCCGGGGUCCACUGCUGCCAGCCUGCAGCCCAGGGGAGGGUUGGCUCGGCCGUGUAGCCUCAAAGCCCGGGCUCCCCGCCCGCAGGGCCAGCGCGCCGGGCAAGACCCUCCAGCGCGCCCUGAGUUUGCGCGCCUCGCACGUCCAGCCGUGACCUGGGCCUCUCCGCGAGCCAGCCCGAGGCAGUUGGCAUCACAUCCUGGGAACCCCGGCUCAGUCUCAGAGAUUAAUUGGUGCUUUUAAUUACCGGCUGGUCUGCAGAAACCGAAAGUCCAAGACAAAGAUGAGCCAUCAGCUCGGAGCAGUGGCUCUGUAAAGACAGCCUCGUCCUGCCCCGCUGGGUCUCCGGAGAGAGAGACGUCCAAGUGGGAACCCCUCGGAAGCGGAGCCCCACAUCAGUCACGACCGAGAAAGGCAAAUGCUAACUUGAAAUGAAAAUAUCAGAAAAAUCCUUUCGGAAUGAGGGGCCCUGGCUGGCUUUGCACCACGGAAGGUUCCAGAGGCACGGCAGAGCCAACGGCAAAUUAAAACACACCCUGUCAAAAGAUUUCCGCUGUCUCCCAGGUAUUUAUUUUUCGGAACUUGGCGAAGGAGGGUUUAAUUAAGACACCCUCAGGCGGGAGCCUUGUGCAGAGUGGAAGAGGCUGACGGUUCUUGGGAGUCCGUCAGGACGGCUUGGAGCAUGCGGCUCAGGUCAGAGGCAGAAGGCGUGGGCAGCUCCGGGGGCUGCGCAGACCCAGCUUCCCUGGCUGCAAGCCCUCAAGGAGCUCCACCAGCUAAGCGUUCUAAUAAAG